CACUCCUGCGGGAGGCAGCAGUGGGGAAUAUUGGACAAUGGGCGCAAGCCUGAUCCAGCCAUGCCGCGUGAGUGAUGAAGGCCCUAGGGUUGUAAAGCUCUUUCACCGGUGAAGAUAAUGACGGUAACCGGAGAAGAAGCCCCGGCUAACUUCGUGCCAGCAGCCGCGGUAAUACGAAGGGGGCUAGCGUUGUUCGGAUUUACUGGGCGUAAAGCGCACGUAGGCGGACUAUUAAGUCAGGGGUGAAAUCCCGGGGCUCAACCCCGGAACUGCCUUUGAUACUGGUAGUCUUGAGUUCGAGAGAGGUGAGUGGAAUUCCGAGUGUAGAGGUGAAAUUCGUAGAUAUUCGGAGGAACACCAGUGGCGAAGGCGGCGCACUGGCUCGAUACUGACGCUGAGGUGCGAAAGCGUGGGGAGCAAACAGGAUUAGAAACCCUAGUAGUCCCAUGA
rnacentral:rRNA from 1 species